GUGUGUGUAUCAUUUUAGUGUUGUGUUUCUGUUGUGUCGUAGUUCUCUUAUAUUUUAUGCGUUUUCCUCAGUUUUAGUUUGUAACUCGGUUUUGUUUUUUCUCUAUCGAUUUAUGAAUUUCGAACAGCGGUAUACUCCUGUUGCCUUUAUUUCCCAUGAUAACUCCUUUUCAGUUGUGUUGCUUAUUUAAAACAAAUAUUUUGUUAUAGCAGGAGAUAAUAUUUAGAAUUAUUAAUGUUGUUUAUCACGGAUCUUGUUUAUAGC
rnacentral:lncRNA from 1 species